UGAAAUUAGGCAUUUGAUCUAUUCCCAUUUUACUAUAUAGAAUAUGUACAUUUCCAAUUGCUACGCGCACGCACAUAUGUGUGCCUGGAUCCUGAGUAUAGCUUCAGUAAGGCCUAAACCAACCAUGGACGCUUAUGUAAACUUACUUUGAUUUCUUUCUUAAUAGAUGACAUUCGUUUAAACAUCCAAACUCUCUUCUACCAAGUAACACCAUCUGAAUAAAGAAUUAAAGAAAACACAGU